AGUGAACGCUGGCGGCGUGCCUAAUACAUGCAAGUCGAACGGAGUGGCGCACGGGUGAGUAAUAUAUAGCUAAUCUGCCCCUUGCUGGAGGACAACAGUUAGAAAUGACUGCUAAUACUCCAUAGCAAGGGAUGAGACUAUAUCGGAUCAGCUCGUCGGUGGGGUAACGGCCUACCGCGGCGAUGACGCGUAACCGGUCUGAGAGGAUGAUCAGUCACAUUGGAAGUGAGACACGGGCCAAAAAACUAGGGGAGGGAGCAGUAGGGAAUAUUGUGCAAUGGGGGUGUACCUGACGCAGCAACGGGGCGUGGAGGAUGACACUUUUCGGAGCGUAAACUACGUUUGUUAAGGAAGCGGUACCUAAAGAAUAAGCACCGGCUAACUCCGUGCCAGCAGCCGCGGUAAUUC
rnacentral:rRNA from 1 species